rnacentral:lncRNA from 1 species
GGAUGUGAGGGCAAUCUGGUUGCGACGUCUGUCACUCCAUGGAUCUCCAGGGUUGAUUCGGCUGAUCUGGCUGGCUAGGCAAGUGUUCCCUUCCUCCCUCACGACUCCAUGUGCAUCCCCUGCCCCCCUGAAGCUGCAUGCUCAGUCAAAGAGGACAGCCAUCCCCAAUAGAGGAGGAAUGGUCUUCGGUCAAGGGUAGACGAGUAGCUAUGCUCCCCUGCUAGAACCUUCAAACAAGCUCUCAAGG